CUUUACUGAUGCUUGGUAAAUUGGGCGGAAAAGCCGAAGCCUGAAGUGCCCGGUGCUGAGUCCCUGUAGUUGCUUGGGGACCUGCACCGUCGGGGAUCGCGUGGUGCAGACCUGGGAGCAGAGGAUACGGCGGGGUUUCGCGGGAACGCGAAAACUCCCCGGAUCCGCAAUCGCCGCGGGGCGGCCUGGGAAAAUCAGCAGUCAGCAGCGCAGUGGGAGAACCGCAGCCCGGCGGCUCUGGAACCUCCCAGGGUUCACUGAUCACCCAGACCUGCUCACCUGUGCAGCAGGACAAAGGGCCUGGAAGGAGAGGAGACAGCAGCUAAGGAUGCAGGUGUCAUAGCUGGGUUGGACUAUUGGGUGGCUCCCUCCUUUGGAAGCUUGGAUGUUGCCUUCUGUCACCAUGAAAGCUAGUCCCCAGGCAUGAAGCUUUAAGGUCAGUUCCAUCUUGAGUUCUCUAGGGACUCAACCCCUGUUUCUAAGAGGCAACCAUAGCAACAACAAUACCAUAUAAUGUUUGGAGGUCUCUUGCACAGCUGUGACCAACAACUUCUAAGCAUGUUUCUUAGCCUUGGUGUUGGUCAUCUUGUUAGAAAAUCUAUGACUCUUGAGAGGAAUUGUAGUGUAAAUUCUACUUUGUCUUAAUAAUAAAUCCUGGAGUCAGAUAUCAGAAAAGCAGAGAAGCCACCUACUAGAGAGUUUUUACCUCUACCAAUGUUCAGACCAAAAGGACGAUCCUGUCUCUAUUAAUCCUCAGACUAAAUGCUCUGUUGAUGAAAUUUCAGAUUGAAUGCUGUCUCCAUGAAACCUCAGACUGAAUGCUUUGAGCUCCUGUCUCCUCCUGCCUUAUUUUCUCCUUUCCUCCCAGCCGCAUCACUCCUGUCUCCACCUCCCUAGUGCUGGGAUUAAAGGCGAGUGAUCCAGAGUGCUAGGAUCAAAUGUGUGAACUCUUUCUCUUUCAGACUGAUCUCAAGUAGCCUAGUAUGACCUUGAACUCACAGAGAUCUGUCUCUCUCCUGAGUGCUGGGAUUAAAGGUGUGUGCCAGCAUUGCCUAGCCUCUAGAGCUAACUAAUGUGAUACCUCUGCAUUCUGAUAUUCAGGCAAGCUAUAUUUGGUACAGCACAAACAAAAUAUCACCACAAGGAACCUCAUCAGUACAGUUGGGAAAUUUUCAUUUAUACUCUAAAUGUGUAUGCUUACUGAGAUUUGUAUGUACUAUAGACAUUUUUUGGUGAAUGUUUAAUAGUCAAGGAAUAGAUGGAUUCCUUAUGAAUUUUCUAGACAUCCUUUUUGUUAUUUUACCUUCCUUCUUCUGAGUUUAUUGCUAUCCCUUCUUCAUAGUUAAAUCCUCACCCCUGUUUUUUGUUUAAAUCCUCACUCCCUUCAGAUCAUUUUUUCUCUGUUAUUCCUGUCUCCAUUACUCCCCCACACCCCACAAUGCUGUCCUUUUACUUUUCUGGUUACUGCAGUCACUCCAGAUUGUGGACUCACAUCUGAAGAUUUGGAGCUAGGAACGUCCUAGGAUAGAGAACAUGCAUUGUCUGUGUUUCUGGGGCCAGGUUACCUCACUCAAUAUGAUCUUUUCUAUGUCCAUUUAUUUACUUGCAAAGAUCAUGAUUUCAAAUUUCUUUAUAGCUCAAUACUAUUCCAUGGUGUAUGUGUACCAUAUUUUCACUAUCCAUUUGUCAGUUGAAGGACACUUAGGUUGUUUUCCUUUUUGUUCAUAUUGUGAGUAGAGCAGCAAUGAGCAUGUGUGAGCAAGGAUGUGGAGCAGGAUGUCGAGUCCAUCCAGCAUAUGCUGAGGAAUGGAACAACUGAGCCAUGUGCUCAAGUUAUUUAGUUUGAGAGUUUUAUUUAAUUGAGGAUUCUCUAUUUUGAUUUUUAGUGUGGGUAGUUUUUUUACUCGUGGCAUUUUUUUUCCAAUGGUUUUAUUUUUAUGUUGUUACUGGCUGAAUUAUUCGUAGUAUUCUUCUUUCUUUUUUUUUGAGAAACAGUGGUUUGCUGUAUUGCUUACAGAUGAGCACUUUCCAGUCUUCCUAUAUUUAUCUAUUCUUCACAUGAAAUUUAUUAUUUCCCAUGUUCUCUUGGAUUAUUCCUCUGAUUCUCUUGUGCAUAUUUUACCUCUAAUGUAUUUGAUAAAAUCAAUUUUGUUAAUUGGUGACUAUCUUGAAUAUACGUAUAUUUCCAUCAAUUUUAAGAGAGUAGUUUUCUUUCUGCAACAAGAUGCUUGGUGAUUAUUUUCUCUCCAAGUUUCAAAUCUCUUUCCAUGCUCUCUUGUCUUUGGGAUCAUUGAUUAGAUACCUGCUCAUAUUCUUCUGUUUGGGUAUUUUCAUGUGGUUUCACAUUGUUCUCUGUUUUCAGUAUUAUUCUUUCAGUAUGACCCCUUCAUUUGAUAGGGAAAUAAGCUAUGUAUUCAUUGUUCCUGAAAGAGAAACUCAAAGAAGAGAAACAGUAAGUAAUGGCUGAUGGUCCAGUACACAUAUUGUAGGUUAGUGGUCCUUUCUACUCUUUAUCUAAAUAUGUAAUACUUUGAUAAAUUAAAAGCCUUUUAUCUGCCUUUGAUAAAAUUAUAAAAUUUUAUUACGAACAAUUCUGCAAACAGACAUACAAUAAAAUCUCUCAUUGAAG